GACUCUUAGCAAUAAAUGUCUUUGUCUCUUGUUAUGUUGAAGAAUGUGGCAAAAUAAAAUGCUUGGUGUGCAUUGUAGAAUACCAUGAAUCAUUGGGUUUUUUAAUGCAAUUUGUGCCUAAGAUCUCAAUUGAGGGCACAUCUAUUCGGGCAUCA
rnacentral:rRNA from 1 species